rnacentral:rRNA from 1 species
UAGGGAAUCUUCCACAAUGGACGCAAGUCUGAUGGAGCAACGCCGCGUGAGUGAAGAAGGCUUUCGGGUCGUAAAACUCUGUUAUUGAAGAAGAACGUGUGUGACAGUAACUGGUCAUGCAGUGACGGUAUUCAAUCAGAAAGUCACGGCUAACUACGUGCCAGCAGCCGCGGUAAUACGUAGGUGGCAAGCGUUGUCCGGAUUUAUUGGGCGUAAAGCGAGUGCAGGCGGUCUUUUAAGUCUGAUGUGAAAGCCUUCGGCUUAACCGAAGAAGGGCAUCGGAAACUGGGAGACUUGAGUGCAGAAGAGGAGAGUGGAACUCCAUGUGUAGCGGUGAAAUGCGUAGAUAUAUGGAAGAACACCAGUGGCGAAGGCGGCUCUCUGGUCUGUAACUGACGCUGAGGCUCGAAAGCGUGGGUAGCAAACA